ensembl:lncRNA
AGGAACUGAUUUUCAUAUAGUGAAUAGUCAUUGACUGAUGUAGCUCACAUCUAAAAUGAGCCCAAGUUCGGGUGUUACCUUUGUGCAUGUGUGCUAAGCUGCUUCAGUCUUGUCCAACUCUUUAUGACACUGUGGACUGCAGUCGGCCAAGCUCCAUGUCCAUGGGAUUCUCCAAGCAAGAAUACUGGAAUGGGUUGCCAUUUCCUUCUCCAAGGUACCUUCCCCACCCUGGGAUCGAACUGCCGUCUUGUGUCUCCUGCAUUGGCAGGCAGGUUCUUUACCACUAGCACCAUCUGGGAAACCUUGAUAUACAUCAAAAGAUAACUAAUAUUUUGGCAAAGAGCAUGACUUUUUUCUAAAAAUUCUAGGCAGAUUAUCUGUGAUUUUCCUAUUGGGGCUUGCCAGAAGCUUGCCUGCCACAGACACUUGUAAUAACUAUUAUCUGUUGGGUCAUUAAGAUCCAAGGAUCAGGGCAGCUUGCACUAUAGCCUAGACCUAGGGAGCCCUCUCUUGUUCUGGGUUCCAUUCAAAACAGACAGCCAUAGGUACUACUGAGCAAAUAGUUUGGAAGCACAGCUGGUUGUGGUAUAUGGUGUCUCCAAAAUCCAGAGAGUUCUGGCAAACACUAUUCUUCUUUUUGGUGGGCACAAAGAGUGUAGUGACUUACCCAUCAUUUUAGGGGGGAUAUCGUAACAUGUUCUAGAUUGCUAAAUCCCUUGAAUCCUUGCAAACAUUUUCAUGGGAUUUAUCCUCUAUUCUGCGGUCAUAUUUGUCUUGCUGAAAUAUAUAAGGAACUUGCUACUUACUGUUCCCAAGAUCCAAUUAGCUUGUCACCAAUGUAAUGGACCCAUGUGAUGUUCUAUGGGAUUUCAAGAUGAUCAAGAUCCCAGGAGGCUAUAUUAUGAUAGAGAAGAGAGUUGGGGCUUCCCUGGUUACUCAGCAGCAAAGAAUCCAUUUGUCAAUGCAGGAGACACAGGAGAAAAUGCAGUUCUAUCCCUGGAGAAAGAAAUGGCAACCCCCUCCAGUAUUCUUGCCUGGGAGAUCCCAUGGACAGAGGAGCUGGGAAGGUUACAGUUCAUGGGGUUGUAAGAGAGUUGGACAUAACUUAGUGAUGAAACAACAAGAUUGUUGACAUUACCCUGAAUGUAAUAUGGUAAAAUUAUACUGCUCACCCUUCCAGGUGAUGGCAAUUUGAGAUGGCCCUGAAGAAAAAAGAAAAGUACUCUUCAAGUUAAUAGCCACAGAUACUAGGAUUGUAUUGUCUGGUCCAGUGAAGUUACCAUGCUGGUAAAAUGGGCAUGGUUCCAUAAUCCAUCUUUUGUCUGGGCUGAGCAGGAAGUUAACUGAGUAUAGGGUAGGGAACCUGCACUCUUGUCCCUUUUGGGUUUUUAAAUAGUGACACCAAUCUCUGUCCCUGUCCAGGGACACAGUAUUCCUUUUAGCUUACGCUAUGGAUGUAGAACAGUUCCAGGGGCUUCCACUUAGCCUUUCUUACCACCAGCUCUCUCUGUGAGUGAGGGGAGAAAUGAGUCAAGGAAUGCAGCAGACUCUUAAAGCCGGAAAAGGUGAGGAAAUGAAUUCUCCCCUAGAACCUCUAGAAGGUAUGCAGCUCUGAUGACACCUUGACUGUAACCCAGUAGGACCUAUUUCAGACUUCUGAGCUCCAGAAGUAUAAAACAAUACCUUUGUGUUGUUUUAAGCCACUGCUGCUGCUGCUGCUGCUGCUAAGUCGCUUCAGUUGUGUCCAACUCUGUGCAACCCUAUAGAUGGCAUCCCACCAGGCUCCCCCGUCCCUGGGAUUCUCCAGGCAAGAACACUGGAGUGGGUUGCCAUUUCCUUCUCCAAUGCAUGAAAGUGAAAAGUGAAAGGGAAGUCGCUCAGUCAGGUCCGACUCUUAGCAACCCCAUGGACUGCGGCCUUCCAGGCUCCUCCGUCCAUGGGAUUUUCCAGGCAAGAGUACUUUAAGCCACUAAAGUAUAAUAAUUUGUUACAGCAGCAAUACAAAAAUUAAUGUACCCUGGACACGACUGAUGUUUUAACUCCAUAUCAAUGGAUGUUUUAACUCCUAGAGCCAGGAUUUAAUAACUCCUGGAAGGUCUGGUCAUAUCCCUUCUCACCGAGCAUUCUCAAACGUAGCUAUAAGUCCCAUGUCUUUCUGAAGGAGACUCGGAAGAAGAUUUAAGGAUGUACUGUAGGAGCAUUGCGGGCUCUGGCCUCAGUUUCAAACAGGGCGUUUUGGGUCUAUGGACUGAUUUGAAUCUGGAAACGAUGAAAAGCCAUGAAUUUCUACUAUGGCAACUUAAGUGAGAUUUUUGACUCAGAUCUAGAAUUUUUCUAAGUGCUGAAAUCAAACCAUAACUUAGAACGCUACCAAUGAACUUCGUUCUUAAGUACCCCAUGAUAAAUGAAACACCACCAUGGCAGUUUACACGUUUUGAUUACCGUGUUAUCCCUGGAGAUAUUUAUAGUAAUAGCUUCUUUAAAGAAACUGAGCCUUUGAAGUAGGGUCCCUGUGAGUUAUUGCCCUGGAAGGAUGCAGCCAAUGUCAGAUUGCAGCACAAAGCAGAUAAAAAACAGACAGAAUAAAUACUCUGGCCUCUUUCUUCUUGUCUUUCCUGCUUCUAUGUCCCAACUGAAGGCAGAGGACAAAGGAUCCUAGAUAAUAGAGGAUGUUAUCUGCAGGCGUCAUUUUCCUGGGGCAAUGGGCAGGGAAGAUAAAGGUGAAGGAUGGAUAGGAAGGUCUAAAUUAGAAAUAACCAAACAAACAGCCCAACACUACAUAUUAUUUGUUAAAUUGCCUCCUAAUAAAGAUUGGAGAUGUUCCAUUUGUUCUUUUAUCUCUCUCUUCCAUCCUUCUCUCUCCAGUGCCUCAUUAAAUGCCUGUGAAAAACUAAAUGAGUGAAAAAUAACGCUGGGUCUUUCCCUGUGUUCUUGGUGGCUGCAACUGGAAGUGAGGAAAAAAUGGGAUCUCAUGUGUGGCAAGAAAGGAGAGAGCGAGAAUGACAGGGCUGAGAGCAGUGAGGGAGCUGAACAGAUCUUACUCCUGUUCCUCUGCUCUGCAAGAGAAGUAAAGGAAGUACAAAGAACCAACCAGAAAAAGAUGAAUAUGCUCAUUAACUCAAUCUUGUCAGAAGCUCCACUUCUCAUCAGCCUGCCUCGUGUUUCCCACAGGAGACUCAUCUCCAGAUCCAGCACACUGGAAGCCCCCACUACUUUUCAUGAAUGAAGAUUGCAGCCAAGGAAGACUGUAUGUGUUUAAAGAGACACCGCAGGGUUAAUAAUUAACUUCUCCAUUUCAAUGUUUCAGUAGCAUGCAUGGCUCAUCUGUUGAUCUCUGUUUUCUUCAACCAUCCCAAAGGCUGUUAUUUAUCUUAUCCUUUAUCAGUCACACUGUGUGAAUAAUUUAAGUGAUGUUUUGGCUAUUUAACUACAGCAGUCAUAAUAUUCAAAGAUAUUUGGAAAUGCAGGCAAGUGCCAGAAGAGUUUAGUAAGUCAUUCGAUGGGAGUCUUAUACAUACAAAGACACUGUUACUUAGUUUCUUGAAUAUUUACAUGUUAACUUCGAUUUUGAUAUGGUCCAGAAAAAGGCUCACUGCUCAAAUGACUACUUCUUGAGGAUUUUACUACAAAUGUUUUCUCUUUAGAGUUAAGACUUUCUGUCAUAUCCACCAAUGGGCUGAUAAACUAAAAAAAAAAAU